rfam:Schistosoma curassoni strain Dakar, Senegal genome assembly, scaffold: SCTD_contig0001685
AUCCAUCUGACGAGUUCCAGAUAGGAUGGAACCUAUGUCCUGGAU